AUGGAACAAGGUUCUGCGUGCCUUCUGCUCAAGCUCUCUGUGUCCUCUGCACUGCUGCAGCUCUUCCUUUUCCCACCUGUUCCUUCCAUUGACCACUCAAUGCACUUGAUGCAUACCUCAUCCAAAAAAAUCGCGUUCUGCCAUGAGACCACAAUAAAUCAAGUGGAAGUCCCCUCUGAUGCUGGACUUGAACAGACUGGAAGAACACCAGCCCAUGCUAAGAAGACAGUUGCCAGGAAAUACAAAGUGUUGCAAGAGUAACCACCAAAUAUUUAUGGGCAGCAGUUCAAAGCAUGCUCUUCUGAGAAGCUGAAGCUGUAAAAUUCACAGUGCUAGGCUUCAUUUUUGCAAAGAUGCAUCUGAACAAGCAUCCACUAUGUUCUCAUUCAUAGCAUGGGCCUGCUAGUGGAUAAUUCUGCACAACAGUAAUCACUUCAAGAUUUCUCUUGACUAUAUCCAAGAUUUCUGCUAUCAGUGCAGAUUGUUCCUCGGCAUCUGCUAAUAUGGAUAACACAUUUUAUUUAUAGCGUUUUACCUUUUCUGGUCUUCAUUUGUCCCGGUGAAAGAUGAUCUAGUUUGAUAUUUCUCAAGACAUAAUUGUUGUGUCUGAAGUCGUGCUUGUUUGUGUAACAGGGACUGCACUUGAGAGCUUUGCAGGAAUGAGAACGAGCACUGAUUUCACAAUGAGGCUGAGAUUCACUAAAGUUUCAGUGAAACAGUGGGAGAAGAGCGCAGAUAGUGAAUUCCACUUCCCUCUGCUGCAUGUAUACAUUGGUUUCCAAAUGCUCUGCAGACAGGUUUUCAAGAACUAAUUGGAGAAUCAAACUUUUUCCUUGGAAACUCUCAUUAGCAGUGUGCAGAAAUGCCUGUUUUAAUUUAAUGAGCCUUUGUAGUACUAUCACACAGCUGUUUUCAUAAUCUCAAAGCUCUUCUUUAAAUAGCUGUGACAAUCAAGCCAAUUAUGCUCCCAUGGACCAAUUUUUAGUUAUCUUUGGUUUGCUUCCACUGGAAACAUAUUUGUC
rnacentral:lncRNA from 1 species